rnacentral:pre_miRNA from 1 species
UAGAUAACUCGAAUAUCACAUUUUCAGUGUUCGAUAUCUGAUGAGAUAUUCACGUUGUCUAAA